AAAAAAAAAAAAAAAAAGAUUUACGAAUGCCUUGCUUCUCCGUAAGCUGAAUUUGAAGUUGCUUACCAUAACUCAUAUAAUAUAGAAAAAUAAAGAUGAGCUAAUACAAUCAGGAUGAAGAAAAAGAAAAGUCAGAAUAAAAUGAAAGGCCAGGAAUAAGAACACAGAUAAGCAGGCCAUAGGGGCUUACAUAGUUAUUAAAAUUGCAUCAUAAAUUUGGCUCUGAGCUUCCUGGUGGCCAACACUAAAAGGAAAACAGAUGUAUGUGCUUUUUCUCACUGUCUUUAAGAAGAAACACAGUGUUCUUGGAGAUUUUCAGUGUUUCCCUGGUUGCAGCUUUCAAUUUUUCAGGGGCUUUAUAUAGUGAUUUUGAGUAAUAAGCAAUAUCCUUGUAUUCGUUAUCUAUUCUUGGGUAAAAAUCACCCCAAAUUUAGCAGUUAAUAAACAAUAAACUUUUUUUUCCCUCACAGUUUCCAUGGGCUAGGAAUCUGGGUGAGGUUAGCUGUGUCCUCUGGCUCAGGCUCUCAUGAGGAUACAAUCAAGCUGUCAGCCAGGGCUGCAGCUCUCUCAAGGCUUCAGAAUCCUCUUUCAAACUCACUUCCACUGCUGCUGGCAGGCCUGAGGUCCUCUCUGGCUGUUGGCUGGAGACAUCAUUUCCUGUCCACUUCCACCUCUUGCUUUUUGAAUCUCUUACUCACCAAACCUAGUCUCUCUGUGAAGACCUGCUCUGCCUUAAUCAAUAUUUUCCCCAUAGACCCAGUGAGAGCAUUCUAUUCCCUUGAAUACUCAAUCUCCUGUGUGGCUGCUGCAAGUCCUGGAAUCUUUUUAGGAUUUCCUCUCUAAAGGCCAUUCAAAAAGUGGUGAGUUAAUUUGCCCACAGUCCACAGUCCACAUUGCAGCCAUCAGCAAAGCCAAACGCCAGCCGUGCCUGGAUCUCCCUGCAUACCACAUUCAUCCUUAUCUUGCACACAUUUCCUUCACUAUGCGAGGACAAGAACACUUUUGAGCUAAUGAACGUGCAUGUUCUCUGUUCAAAGUAAAACACAUAAUAAAUAAACCCCACCAAGAUGCUCACUUCCUGGUGGGUCUGUGUGUUAAAAGCAGUUGUCUUCAAAUCUAACUCCUAUGAAUGUUUAUACUUCUGUUUAUUCUAAAACUCCCUAAUUAGAGACUUCCCAGUAUCUUGCAAUUCCUCAACAAGUCAUAGGGAGCCCAGGAAUAAUUUUUUUUUUGAGACGGAGUCCCACUCUAUCGCCAGGCUAGAGUGCAG
rnacentral:lncRNA from 1 species